UAGAUGCUAACCAACGAAGGGCCUCUCUGGU
rnacentral:piRNA from 1 species